UAGAGGAGUCUCUCCUCCCCCUUGUGAGGCCGUCAGCUUGGGAGUUGCAAGAAGUUGGCUGUUAUGAGGCGUUCACUGUUGGUGUCCCUACCAGGAAGCUCAUAGGCUGGCAUUUACAUAUAUCAGCCUGAGGGUAUUUGCUUAUGUCACAAUCCCUCUCUCUCUACCAUGCUGGGUGGGUAGGAGGAUGCGGCCUUGUGGGUGUAGCAGAGAAUUAUGAACUUCUCUGAAGGCUGCCAACAAAAUGUCAAGUCAGUCCACUGACAGAAAGGAAGAGAAACCUUGGAAAAAACAUUAUUGCUUAUGUUCCAUCUGAAUCUGAGCAGCUGACCUGACGAAGGAGGCCUACAGGAGUGAGAUCUUUGAAUAGAUCUGCAUUCAAAUCCAGCUCUGUAUGACUCACAGCAAGAACUGUAAACACCCCAUGUGUAUAAAAGGCCUUCUGGCAACAACACCUUUUAAAGUUUCCACAAGGAAAUGACAUAAAGCACUUCUGCUCACAGUUAAUUGGCCAAAGCAAGUCCCAUGACGACACCUAACUCUAAGGAAGAUCAAUCCUAGCAUAUAUCUGGAAAAAGAACCAAAAGUACUUGGUGAACACCUUUGUCAUCAUUCUUUCUACCACAUUCUUUGAAAAUCGAUGUAUACUUGGAUUUCCUGUUUGAAAUCAUUAUUUUUGGAAUGGCUUUUAAACAAAUUAUAAUAAUAUAUUAUAAUAGUGCUGCUAUUUAUGGAGUGACACUGCCCUCUCCAGAUGUGGCCUAAAAGGAUACUAAGGAAGGAAACAUCUUCGAGGGAAUGGAAUAAAGGGCCACAAAUAAUAUUUCCCACCCUAAGGGAGGGAUCCUUAUAACAUCUGGCCCAAGGGAUUCCAGAAUUGCUGCGGACCAAAGACUGCUGUAUUUCUGUAAUUACCCCAUUUUCUUAAUGAAAGUUUUCUGGUUGUUCUGCCUCAGUCUACUGUUGUAUGGUGUGUGCAUACAUGCACAUCUGUACAUGCAUGAAUGUGUGUGUGUUGGCAGGGAGGGCAUGGUGGUUGCAUUGGUGGAAAGUAAUUUGUCCUAUUCAUAUAUAGGUCUCCAUAUCAAAUGCAGCUACAUCUUGGCCUGCUAUAAGCCUCUGUGCAUCUCACCAUGAUGAAGAGAUCACUUGGAAUCACUUGGAGAGCUUGGACAUUGAGGCUGGAACCAGGAAGAGUAUUUUUCAAGAACUGUUCACAAACAGAUCAGGGAACAGGGUUUCACUUAGGAUUACCUUGCCAACAAGCGCCGACCGUAAGUUGCAUGGCUAUGUGAGAUGGAUGAAUGGGCCAAUCGUUGGUCACCAGGUACGGU